UGGGGGAUAUUGCACAAUGGGGGAAACCCUGAUGCAGCGAUGCCGCGUGAGGGAAGAAGGUUUUCGGAUUGUAAACCUCUGUGGAGGGGGACGAUAAUGACGGUACCCCUUUAGGAAGCCACGGCUAACUACGUGCCAGCAGCCGCGGUAAUACGUAGGUGGCGAGCGUUGUCCGGAAUUACUGGGUGUAAAGGGAGCGUAGGCGGGAAUGCAAGUCAGAAGUGAAAAUUAUGGGCUUAACCCAUAACCUGCUUUUGAAACUGUAUUUCUUGAGUGAGUCAGAGGCAAGCGGAAUUCCUAGUGUAGCGGUGAAAUGCGUAGAUAUUAGGAGGAACACCAGUGGCGAAGGCGGCUUGCUGGGGCUUUACUGACGCUGAGGCUCGAAAGCGUGGGGAGCAAACAGG
rnacentral:rRNA from 1 species